CAGUAGCCACGGUAAUACGAAGGGGGCUAGCGUUGUUCGGAUUUACUGGGCGUAAAGCGCACGUAGGCGGAUCGAUCAGUCAGGGGUGAAAUCCCAGAGCUCAACUCUGGAACUGCCUUUGAUACUGUCGAUCUGGAGUAUGGAAGAGGUGAGUGGAAUUCCGAGUGUAGAGGUGAAAUUCGUAGAUAUUCGGGGGAACACCAGUGGCGAAGGCGGCUCACUGGUCCAUUACUGACGCUGAGGUGCGAAAGCGUGGGGAGCAAACAGGAUUAGAUACCCCGGUAGUCCCUGUCUCUUAUAC
rnacentral:rRNA from 1 species